rnacentral:rRNA from 1 species
UCGAGCGAACCACUUCGGUGGUGAGCGGCGAACGGGUGAGUAACACGUAGGUGAUCUGCCCAUCAGACGGGGACAACGAUUGGAAACGAUCGCUAAUACCGGAUAGGACGAAAGUUUAAAGGUGCUUCUGGCACCGCUGAUGGAUGAGCCUGCGGCGCAUUAGCUAGUUGGUAGGGUAAAGGCCUACCAAGGCGACGAUGCGUAGCCGACCUGAGAGGGUGAACGGCCACACUGGGACUGAGACACGGCCCAGACUCCUACGGGAGGCAGCAGUAGGGAAUCUUCGGCAAUGGGCGAAAGCCUGACCGAGCAACGCCGCGUGAAUGAUGAAGGCCUUCGGGUUGUAAAAUUCUGUUAUAAGGGAAGAACGACUUUAGUAGGAAAUGGCUAGAGUGUGACGGUACCUUAUGAGAAAGCCACGGCUAACUACGUGCCAGCAGCCGCGGUAAUACGUAGGUGGCGAGCGUUAUCCGGAAUUAUUGGGCGUAAAGAGCGCGCAGGUGGUUGAUUAAGUCUGAUGUGAAAGCCCACGGCUUAACCGUGGAGGGUCAUUGGAAACUGGUCGACUUGAGUGCAGAAGAGGGAAGUGGAACUCCAUGUGUAGCGGUG